UUCACGCCUCUCAGUCUCAUCUCAUCUCAGGUCUCUAUUCUAUAUCGAUGGUGUCUCUCUCUCUCUUUCCCAUCUCAAACUGAGUUCUCUCUCUCACUCUCAUCCAUCUCAGAUCAGAUCGGUGUGCUGCUGCUAUCUCUCCGUUGAUCUCCAUCUCAGAUUAGAUCGAUCUAUAGCUGUUGUCUUCCUCUUUCGGUUCCCAGAUCAUCCAUCGCAGAUUAGAUCGAUUGUUCAUGUCAUCUACAAUGGAUUCAGUGAAUGUUUACAGGAAUGGAGUUGCUAUUGGAAUGGAAAUGCUAGUGGCAUAGGAUGUUUACAGGUUUUCAGUUUAUGGAAAUGCUAGUGGAAUAGAAUGGAAAUGCUAGUGAAAUGAAAGUUUAAUUUGGAAUGGUUUGCAGUUUAUAAUAUUGUUUACAGGUUUUCAAAUAGGAUGUUUACUUAUAUAAUAUUGUUUACAAGUUUACCACUCAGAUUAUAUUGUUUGCAGGCUGCUAUUAGAAUGGAUGUUUAAUUAUAUUGUAGACAGGUUUUCAGCAGCUAUGUUGCUAUUGGAAUGAAAAUGUAAUGUCUAUAUCUUUUUUGUUAUUUAAUUAUUUAAAUCCGUGGUCCUAAACCGAUCCAAUCUGUGUUUCAACGGAUUGGUUCCACAAUUUAAACGGAUUGGAUUGGUUCUAAUUUUUCAAGCAUCGUAGAUAACGGAUUGGUCUUGGUUUUCUCCCAAUCCGGACCAAUCCGGUCCAUGCUUCCGUCCGAAAACUCUCUCACUGACUUCUAUUAUCUCUCUAUCCCUCACUCACCGACUCAAAUCUCUGCGUCUUUCCGGUCUCUCAUCUCUCUCUCUCUCUCUCUCACCCUUACUGACUUCUCUCCUCUCUCACGAUCCCUCACUCACUGUCACUGACUCAGAUCUCUCUCUUUGAGUCUCACCGUUUCUCUCAUCUCUCUCCCUCCCUCCCUCACUCAGCAAUCAUCUAGAUCCAUCAUCACCAAUCUGAACAGAUCCUGAACCGUGGCCCAUCCGUGAAGCUUCCGUUGCCACCGAUCUGAACAAGACCAGGACCGUGACUGUGAAGCCCCCCUUCUCUCUCUCUCUCUCUCUCUCUCUCUCUCUCUCUCUCCCUAUAUAUAUAUAUAUAUAUAUGUUGUUGAUGUUUUAAUUUUUUUUUAAGUUGUAUAUAUAUAUUAGUUGUUGCCACCGAUCUGUUGUCUGUUGUUGUUGAUGAUUGUUGUUGAUCUGAAUAGUUGGUCUGUGUGUGUUGUGAACAGAUAAGUCGGGGAUAUUUCGGGGUCGGGGAAACCCGAUCCCCGUUAGGGAACGGGUGUGGGGGAGGUAAGGGCCUUGGAUCGGAGGCGGGGACGGGGAUGUUUUUACUUUUGGGGAUCGGGGACGGGGACAGGGAGUGGCAUCCCUGACCCCGCCCAGCCCGUUGCCAUUCCUACAUAUCAGUCUCAAAAAGGGAUGAACAGAGAUAUGGAGGUGGAUGAAGGUAGGAAGGGGUGGGUCACUGCCACUGGUGGAGAAAGUGUGGAGGAGUGGGGUUGCCGAGGAAGGGUGGUCCAGAAGCACAUCAUUAUUGGUAAUAGUCUUAACCGAUACAAUUUCCUUUGGUUUUUGUCUUCAGUCUUCAAAUCUGGCAAUGGAGUAGCGAGCGAGGUUCUGGGUUGUGCAAUUAUGGUCAUCACCGCUGGUGCUAGAGGCAUCAGUGAACCCAAUAUCACUCUCCUAGUGGGUUGCUCAACUUGCUUUACUGAAUAAUGAUUCACAACUUCCUCUGUUUCCUCAACAUCUGUCCUUUACUGAUAGUGUGUCGGUCACUUGUCUUUGUGCAUGCCUACCAAUUGUUUGUUGAUAUGCCCAAGUGUGGUGGGCCAAAUAUGAUUGCUUUUCUUCUGCAUUUUAGAUUAGUGGCCCAAGCUGAAGAAGUCCUAUUUUCAACUUGGUACCUUUAUUUAUUUGGUUUGGAGUUAUUACUUGCCCUCAAAUUGUUUGAAUGCUUUUUACUUGGUUAUAGUUUCAAUUUUUUUUGGUGGUAAUGCUUGAUUUUGUGAGUUUUUUCAGAUGGGUGGGUUUGUGGGUAUGAUAGUGCCAGUUGUGGAAAACAGUGAUGGUGGAUGUGGGAGGAUGGAAGGUGGUGGGGUAAGUUUGGGUGGUGGAAUCUGGUUGUGUUAAUUAGACUUAUAGAAGAAAAGGAACACGAUAAGGAAAAGGGAGAAGAUAGUGAAGUAAAUUUUUAUUUUUAGUUGAAGGGAUUAAGGUCAUUCUAGUUUUUCUGUUUCCUCCACUUAGAGAUAAAUACUGAACCUCUCAUUGACAUUUUGCUUGAGUGGGGCUGGGUCAUCCUUGGUAACUCCCACAUCGAUUCUGAUUCUAUAUGCUGGUUUGUGGACGAGAUUUCAUUGUGUAAUAUUGUUAAGCAAUCAACAACAAUAGAAAAUGAGAUGCAUUCUAGAGGUACGAUUGGGUUCAACAAAUGUGACCAUUCAAUUGCUAGGCUUCAGAACAGCUGCUUGGCCUUUUGGUGCAUUAGAAGAAAUCAUGAAAGAAUCCAUUCUGAAUGCUCUAAAACUCGAGUAUAGGCACUUUGAUGCGGCUGCAGUUUACUAGUCAGAGUAGACCCUUGGUGAAGCUAUAGCAAAAGCUCUACAGCUCGGCCUCAUUCAAUCUUGCACUGAGCUUUUGCAUCACAUCCAAACUUUGGUGCUCCGAUGCACAUCCUGACCGUGUCCUCCCAGUACUACAAAAUACUUUGCAGUAAGACAAGACAAUUUUCAUUUAUAUUAAUAAUUAACAAACUCAUACAUAGUAUUUUAUUUUGGUUCUGUUUUAUUACAUGUAUUUUUAAGAGACUUGGGUUGGAGUAUUUAGAUCUAUAUCUCAUUCACUUUCCAAUCAGCUUGAAAUUCGGGAGCUACGAGGUGCCUUUCAGUAAUAAGGACCUUCUUCCCAUGGAUUUCAAGUUUGUGUAGGAAGCUAUGGAGGAGUGUCAUAAACUCUGCCUCUCCAAGCAUAUCGGAGUUAGCAACUUCUCUUGCAAGAAGCUUCAACAGUUACUUCUCACAUCAAAGAUCCCUCCAACUGUCAAUCAAGUGAGUGUUCUAUUUUCAACAAAUAAGUCUAUUAUGUUGGUUUCAAAUAAAGAGAUUUGAGAAUAAGGAGAUGGAAAAACAAUGAAAGAAGGUAAGUUGAGAUAGAAGAUAUUUAAUAGGAUUUUUGUAGCUAGAAAGAAAAUUCUUAGCAUGAUUAUUGUAGCUAGAAAGAAUAUGUUUAGUAUAAUUUCAAAUAAUUAUUUUUAUAUUGUUUUUCAAUUUUAUCAUAUUAAGACUAUUUAACUCAAUCUUAAAAUUGAUAGAUAAACUAUCCUAUCAAGUUAAUGUGCUUGAAUGAUUAAGGUCAAAUCCCUUCAUUUCAAAUUCAGAUCCACAAUUAGUCCUAAGUCACUUCCCUCUAGAACAAAUAUCAUAUCAAUCGUUAUUUAUUUAUUUUUUUUUUGAAGAAUUUUGCAAAUGGCCUUGAGUAUUUUAAAAAAAAAAUACUAAAUUAUUAUUUUUUUAGUACUCGAGGUCAUUUGCAAAAUUAUUUUUUUAAAAAAAUUAAUGAUUGAUAUGAUAUUUGUUGUUCUAGAGGGAAGUGACUUGAGACUAAUUGUGGAUGUAAAUUUGGAAUCAAGGGAUUUUUAUUUUUUUUCACCAGUAAAAAAGAAAAAUUUAUUAAUGCAAUUUGCAAAGAUUACAUCAAUAAAAACUCCAAGCUGCAAAAUGGCAUCAUGGCAAAAAUAUUCAACACAUCAACUAAGCAGACCAACCCAAAAAACAAAAACACAGCCACAGCAGCAAAGCUUCCCAAUUGCAAAAAUUGAUGAACAAACUUGUUAGUACCAGGAUCAUCUAUGCCCAUCCAAUCAACCACUAUACAUUAACCCACUUCCACAAACAUUCUUCUAAAGAAAUCAAAGGAUUUGACCAUAAUCAUUCAAGCACAUUAACUUGAAGUUUGAUAUGAGAGUUUACCUAUGAAUUUCAAGAUUGAGUUAAAUAGUUUUAUCAUGAUAAAAUUGAAAUAAUUAUAUAAAAAUAAUUAUUUGAAAUUAUGCUAAGCAUUUUCUUUCUAGCUACUAGAAUCAUGCUAAGAAUUUUCUUUCUAGCCAUAAAAAUCUUAUUAAACAUCUUCCGUCUCAACUUACCAUCUUUCUUUGUUUUUCUAUUUCCUUAUUCUUAAAUCUCUUUAUUUGAAACC